CAGACAUGCCGGCGUUGGAUUCAGCUUGCUUCGCGGAGCAGGCGCAUUUCCGCGCAUGGCAGGUCAGCGUCAGUUUUGCGCGGCGUGAAAAGGCCCGGGUAAGGUAGCUCUCUUCGGGGAGUGUUACAGACCUGGGCAGAUGCGCUGCGCGGGACUGAGGAUUGCAGCGGACACCCCCGUGGGGCCGCCGGCGACCGAACCCUGCUCGGCCACCCUCGUUCGAUA
rnacentral:rRNA from 1 species